rnacentral:lncRNA from 1 species
UUUCGAGGUCACAGAUAAAAAAUUUUACAAGUCACAAAUUAUUUCAUUGGUUACAGAUCAAACAAAUUACAAGUCACAGGGUCACAUAUGUUCAAAUUUAUUGGUCACAUAUUCUAAAUAGUUGGCCACAUGCACCAAAUACCCCCACCACCAAUCCCAAUCCAGCACCAAUCUCGGUCACAAAUCACCACCUCGCAAUUGUCACUUGCACCACACCAUCGACUGCACAGUAUCAUUCUACAACCUUCAACAAUUGCAACCACAAUAUCGGCAUACACCACUUAACAAAAUUGUUAGUCACCAUAAGCCCACUAGCACUACCACAAUGUCACCAACACAGAAAUUGCCGAAGCCACAGCUAACACCACCACCCCACGACCGCCUGAACGAUUACCACCGUCACAACCACAGUCGACACAACAGAACACAAACUUACCCCACCGCCAUAGGGAAAUACCCACAAUCGACGCUACCUAAUACCUACAACCGACACCAUAGAAAAAUAUCUACAGCUGACACCACCUCACAACCAUCGCUAACACCAUCACCACCACACCGCCACCAGCAAAUUGCCACUAACAGGAGCAAAACACAAAUCAACAAUGGUCUUGGAGCAUCUUACUCUUUUUUUCCCUUUAGCCAGACAAAACUCGAAGUCGCAGUGAUAAUCUAAAAAUGGUGAUCUCAGAUCUGUGAAUUGUACAGGGACAGUGAAGAGCGUCGUUGCGGUAAUCGAAGGUUAGCAGCAUCUUUGCACCACCACCACCUUUUGCACGGCACUACUUAAAGUGUCGAUCGAUCGAUUAGGAGAGAGAGGAUUAGAAGAGAGAGGAGAAGUCGGCAUGGAAAGAGUGAGGGAAGAGAGACGGGAUUGAAAAUGGGAGAAAU